CUACUCUUUUGCUUUCCAGAAACCUCUAGAAAAUAAAAAUUACUAGAAUGUUAUCGUUUAUGAUUAAAACGCUGGAGAAAAACACCUCAGUUCAGUUGUUUACUAAGUUUUUUGUUGUUGACUGUAGCGAAUUCGAGGCCUUCGAAUUUUGCCAGAUAUUGAUAUACAAAAAUUUUCGUUUCGGAAAAAAUACAAAUUAAUGAUCAGCAGUAUCAGAUGACCUCCUGUUAUCAGAUGCAAGGUAGAUUUCCCAGAUAUGUAUUAGAAAGUUUUGUCUGGCAACGCAAUCUUCACUAUCACUGAUGAUAAAAGAUGCCGAUUUCACGUUGCUUAAGAAGACGACGUUUUACCGUAUACCCGAAAGCAAAUUUUAGCUUGA